CACAACUGAAAAUGAAACGGCAGAAGGAAGGAAUGAGAUACUACUACAAGUCACAGAUCUUUUGAGGUGGGAGCUGCAGAUGGUGUCCUGGGUUGCAUUUGGUCCAGUCCCAUUACAAAAUGGCUCCCUCUAGUAUUCUGAAAGUUGGCCUUUUUGUUUCUAAAACAUCAUCCAUUGAAUCACUGAUAGAGCAUUAACACUGCCAAACGUCUUUGUGAAAUGGAAAGCAAGGUGUUCCAGAUUAUUUGUUAUAUCUAGGUUUUCUAAUGAUAAUGCUCAAGUCACAGAACAAGGGUAGCUGGGUUAUUUAUUGUCCAUACUUCUUUUCUUUUCUUUUCUUUUUUUGCCUUCCCACCCACUUUUGUCAAGUUAGCACUUUUAGUAUCUCCUUUCCAGAAGCUAAUACCCAAGGUGAAUUUAGAAGUGGCAGGUCCAAAUUGUGAUCGGAUCAUCUCCGUUGUGGCAGCCGAAACUGAUCUUAUCUGGAUGGUGACCUUACCCACUUCAGAGAGCAGAACUCAUUACAAUAAUAAGGAAUAACAGAGACAGAGAAAGAGCAAUCACAGCAGAGCCUGGAAAGAAUUCACUUUACCAUCAUUUCAGAAGAUUAGUUCUAAGCCUCUCUCCUGUAAACGUCAUUUUUCACUCCAGCAGGAGGUCCAGUUCAGAAAUUAUUCUGGCCGACUCACAGGCUGUAUCUCUUUACCCCUGAUUUGCAAUCCAUUUCCACCUCCUCCCAGCGCACUCAAUUGCAUUUGUUUAAUAGCUACACACACAAAAAAAACUUUGCAUGGCAUGAAUGAUGCUAUUUGAUAAUGCAACAUUUUGUUUGGGAUAUAAUAGGAAGGAUUAUCAAUAUACCUGCAUCUGUAGGUGAGAUGGCAGCUGAAAACGAACCCAUGGGGGUCUUGAUUAUGGAAAUAGUGUGUGUGUGUGUAUGUGUGUGUGCGCGCACAUGUGUGUUUGUGCGUGAGUGCGACUGGCAUUGAAUGAUGCAUAUGCCUACAAGAAUGUAAAUGCACAUAUGAAAAUACUGCAGGGGUGUAUUGGUUCAUUUGUAAUGGGAACUGACCACUGGCUCAAGCUACUGCUGGGCACACCACUUCACGUGUAUAUUUCCUAUUAGGCUUGCAAUCAUUGGACCUUAUGGGCUGCAUUCAGCUACUGUGUCCCGACAGCACAAGGAUUCCUGCUUGCAUAGUGGGGCUUUCCCCCCUCCCCCCCUCCACACACAUUGUCCCCAAAUCUAAUCCAGAAGGUUAGAGAAACCCCUAGAACAAUUUAUUGGGUGCACAGGGGGAGAUGUGGGGGGAAAGGAGAAAGGAGAAAGCACAAGGAGAAAUCACCAGAAGAAAAAUAUCUGUCAGGGGGCUUGUAGCCCACAGCUGCUCUGCUUUCUGGAAAGAACAUGGCCAUUUAGUCUGUGAAUGACUGAGGUACCACCAGCGGAGAUAAAGAUGACAGUGCUCCUUUAGUAGCAUUCCUGGUGGGGCAGGACAGCCCAAGUAUAGCAUACAGUGGUACCUCAGGUUAAGUACUUAAUUCGUUCCGGAGGUCCGUUCUUAAUCUGAAAUUGUUCUUAACCUGAAGCACCACUUUAGUUAAUGGGGCCUCCCACUGCUGCCGUGCGAUUUCUGUUCUCAUCCUGAAGCAAAGUUCUUAACCCGAGGUACUAUUUCUGGGUUAGCGGAGUCUGUAGCCUGAGGUACCACUGUACAUAGUAUCAAAACUCUUAAUAGACACCACCCAGUUUACCUCUGACCCCACUAACUUGGGGCUCUGGCCCAGCCCACUGCUGCUGUCAUGCAGCCCCUGACCAAUUACCUCAGAGGGAACGUGGCUUUCAUCCCUGGUGUGUGCUCUGAUUGGGCACCCAAUUGAAGGCUCUCAUCUUGGUCCUUAAUGGCUGGCAGUUGGCCUUUAAUGGUCUCUAAAUUUGCCACCCAGCGCAGCCAUUUUACUUUCCUUGGUGUGGCACCACCCUCUGUAUUUCUCACUGCUUUUAAAGGUGUCACUUUAUCCUGGCUAUAACUGUACUGACAAUCAGGUCCCCCUCCCCCCUUAGACGUACCUUAUGGUCCUUAUGGUACACAGAACCUUAUGGACACAGAAAGAAAUUGGACACCUGCAUACUCCACACUCCAUACAAGUAACAUAUGUCUGAUACAUAUGUGCCUGUCAUAAUCCCUUACUUGUGCUUACAAUGGACUUUUGAUCAUGUGCUCAUGACAUCACAGUAGGAGGCUGUGAUUUCAAGCCAUUUAACUUGACCCUGUUUUGGCGCAGCAUCUCUGAGUUUGGGAGACACAGUACUUCAUAGAAAGAGAUCUGCUGCUCUCAACACUGACUCACAAGAGUUUUCCAGGGUGCAGAUUUAGUAUGUGUUUUUACCUGUAAUGUUCAAUAUGCUUAAGAGUUCAGAGGAUGCAAGGCCUAUAUUAGCAACAGAGCCACUUCAGGGCAUCUUAGAGCAAGGUUCUAUAGGGCAGGAGCAAUUUGUAUUUCCUUUUCUUCAAUCCGUAUCCCAUGUAGUGGCAGUGGGCUUUAAGCUUCCCAGCCAGGUGUCUACUGUUGCACACAUGCAGGUUUGCACGAGGGCCCUUCUGAGCUGCCCUAGUCAUCUAAGAGAAUGAGGAAGGCAGGGGCACACUUAUUUGACCUGUUCAGGGCUGCCUCAAGUCACCCUGCGACUUACUGUAACAACCUUAUGGUGAGUUCCAGCACCAAUUUUUCUCGGGGUGAAAAAAAAAAGCACUGCUCUCACCCAGCAAGAUUGCCUGUAUGUCUCAGGAUAUGAACUGGAGGCAUGUGAGACCAAUGCCUUGUGGAAGCCAAGCAGAUGUGGCUAUAUGUAUAUUGCCCUGAGUUCCAUUUUGGAAGAGAAGUGGGAAAUAAAGGUUAAAUAAACAGAUGCCUACAUAAAAUGUUCUAUCUAUCCCCACCAGGACUGGGGGGAAAACGUUUUUUUAAAAAAUCUGCAUUUAUAAGAAAUGCAAAACUUAUACAGGUUGCAGGAUUUAGCUUUUCUUGAUACAAUAGAAGCAUUAGAUGACAAGUCUCCAAAUGGCCCUUAUUAUCUCUUUUCUUCUCCCCCCUGGCUACUUUCCUGCCACUAUUAUCCUUCUGUUCAGCUCCAUAUCAUGCUGCUGCUUCGAGCACUUUUAGAAGUUCCUUAAAGAGGAAGGCAUACUUCUGCAAACAUGACAUGAAGGCUGGCAACAUUAACCCCACCCUGUGGGAAUCCCUUGCAGACAACCGCAGCUCCUGGAGACAAUCAGUCAAGUUGUGUAUCCACAGCAGUGACCGGAAGAUGAGUGACCACUUGGAGGAACGCAGAGAGAAGAAAUGCAAUGGUACAUCUGCAGCAGCACAACCAGACUCCUUCAUCUGCCCCAGCUGCAACAAAACAUCUCUCCCGUAUCAGUCUCCACAGCCACAGCAGGUGCUGUAACUCUCCAACAGUUCGACUUCACUCCCGAAGGAGCAGUUCUCCACUGUCUCCUGACACAGACAGAUGCCAGCCACAACUUCAGUGCUGCCUGGAUUUUAAAGCCUGGAUUGAUUUCUAUUUUUGCAGUUUAAAAGGUGAUCAAUGUUCAUUCAUGGAAAAAUGCCACAGGUGACACCAAGUAGGUGGAUCAACUGUAUUUCAGGUGGUCUUCAGGGGAAGUUACCUAGCAGCCUCAAAAUGUUACAUUCCCUUCUAAUGCUCCAUUAACUGAGGGCUGGGGCCAUAGCUGAGUGAUACAGCAUGUACAUUGUACACAGAAGUUCCUCCACCUAAUCCCUAGCAACUUCCAUUUAAAAAAGGUGGAGGUACAGAUGAUGUGAAAUACCUGUACCUGGGACCCUGGAGAGCCACUGCCAGUAGAUAGUAUUUGCUGGAUGGAUGUAUAGUCUGACUUGGGAUAAGACAACUUCCUCCAAUAUCCCUUCCUUAACCGACACCACCUGUUUCACUUGCCUGUGUUCUUGGCAAGACCAUCCUUUGCUCUUUGCAGCACAAAGACUUAUGACAUCACAGAAGGCUGCCAUGGAUAUUCUCUGGCAAACAGGUUGAAGCAAGCUAGUUAACCCAGAGCUAUGUGACAUCCUUUGGGACUAGGAACCUUUACAUCCCUGCUCAGUUAGACGUGGCAAAGCCCAUUGAAACAAAUGAGUUAGUUGUGCUUAACUCAGUGCAGGAGUGAACUGCUACAUGGGAAGGUGCCACAUACCAAAUCCAGAGCAUUGGUCCAUCUAGCUGAGUAACUGUCUAUAUUGACUGGUAGCAGCUCUGCAGGGUUUCAGGCAGGAGUCUGCCCCAGCCCUACAUGGGGAUGCUGGAGAUUGAAUCUGCAUAGAAAGCAUCAGAUGCUCUUCCACUUAGCUAUGGCCACCCUCAAAUUAAAGUAUUACCACCAUGGGAUGCAACGUACCUUAGGCACCACAAGAUAUGUGUGGCAGUUUCAGUUGCCUAGCACUUGACAUCUUUAAGAAAAGACAACCAAGAGUGCCUGCCUGCCUUCUCCUUUCUCCAUAGUCAGGCCAUAUUUGACUGAAGACCAAGAAGAUAACCUGGGGGAACAUAUGCUCCUUCAGGCAGGGGCAGACCAAAAUUUGAUGCCCCCAGAGCCCUUGCGCUGCCUUCCCAAGCCAGGUAAGUGAGGUGCUGGGCUUUGGGAAGGAGGUGCAAGGGCUCUGGCAGGGUCCUAGAGCCGUCCCACCUCCUUCCCAAAGCUGGGCAAGUGCUAAGUAGGCUUUGGAAAGGAGGCAGGAAGGCACCCCCCUCGGCUUGGCACCCUGUAAAGGAGAACCCGUCAUGGUGCCCUAAAUCUGCCUCUGCUCCAGAUGCCGCUGGAUUACAGCUCCUGUCUUCAGUGGCCAUUGUCAUAUUGGAUGGGGAUGGAGCUGGAAUCAAGCAACAAAUGGAGGGCCUCAGAUUCCCCGUCUCUGUUCUUUUUCUGUUCAGAGGUUUCUCAGUUUACCCAGAGGUAGGGUGGAGGCUGUGGGACUACAAGAUCUAGAGAAUUCUAGCAAGGGAUGGAAAGUAGCUACUAUCCCAUAGGGAUGACUCAGCUUCAGAGGGGAAAACCACAAAGCCACAGUAGGCAAGUACUUUAUGAUGAACCACUAAAAUGUCAGAAAGUAAUGAGCAAGCUUUUGGUAGGAGAUCUGGCGAGUAAGAAAUAAACCCUCCCAGAGAGACAUCCUUCUGAAACUGUAGAGGACCACAGGUUAGAUUCCUACUUCCUUUUCUCACCAACCUCUCAGAAGUUAGUGGCAAGAUGCAGCUUCUUUAGCAUGAGGAUUGAUUAGUCCUAGAUUCUCCCAGGAUUGGUCAGCUGGAAUGAUCUCUUUUUAUAGAAAUACUGGAGACCCAGCAGCUCUGUCUAAUAUUGAGCCUGGCAAUCCUAUUUUAAGCCGGCAGGGUGGUUAACGUGUGAGAAAGCCAGAGGGACAAUAAGGCCUCAGGCCAGGCCUGGAGCAGAGAGGGUAGUGGUGGAAUUAUAUGGAAAGAACAAGGCUGGGAGACAUAAGAUUCCUAAAUUCAUGUGGCAGAGCACACAGGUUUUUAACAGCUGUAUAGUAGGAAUCACUGGCUGCUUCACCCAGAAUUAUAAUUGGGGGGGGGACUACAUCUGUGAAAGUUAUCAUUUAUUAAUUGGUGGUACCAUAGUAAAUCCAAAUCUCUGGAGAACCUGUUGAAACCAAGCAAGCUGAGCUUUCAGAUAGGGCUGCUUUUGGUUUCUCUGACAGAGGCUCUGUGCCUGCAACAACAGCAUGGCAAGCAGAAAAGGAACAGAUGUUGCUUUUUCUAAAAGAUGACACUCUUUAGAUGAGAAGCGAUGCAAAGGAGAUAAGAAUUUGUGUGUCUAUAGUAACUGUGUGUAGAAGGGCACAUUGCAACAGAUGAAGCUAUGCAGUGAGAUAACCUAUACUUACAAAAAGGAUUACAAACUACAGUGGUACUACUGGUUAAGUAUUUAAUUCAUUCCAGAGGUCCAUUCUUAACCUGAAACUGUUCUUAGCCUGAAGCACCACUUUAGCUAAUUGGGCCUCCUGCUGCCGCCGCGCCGCUGGAGCACGAUUUCUGUUCUCAUCCUGAAGCAAAGUUCUUAACCUGAAGCGCUAUUUCUGGGUUAUCAGAGUCUGUAACCUGAAGCCUAUGUAACCCGAGGUGCCACUGUAGUUGAAAAGAGUACAAGUGUCAAAGACACUGGAGCCCUGUCCUCUUUCCCCCUUGGUCAUCCUGACAUCCUUUGCAAGCAUUCAAAAAGGAUACUCUUUCGAUAAAGACCUUUAGAGGAUCAGUCAAGGACAUGUUUCUGCCUGAGGACAAGUUGGUGUCUCCUCUCCCCAGUGGCAGACCUACAUUUCUGGGGGCCUGAAGACUGAACUGUCAUAGGGGCCCCUUCGCCACCAGCAACAAGUUCUGGACAACCACUGUUCUCUUCUUCAAUGGGAUUGUUUCAUGACAGUUCAACACACUUUUACAACACCUGUGCUACUGACUCUCAAACUUUGGGAUUGUUGAAAUAUAUACAACUAAAAAUUAAUCAAUUUGAUUCAAAUCAAUGUGACUCAAAUUGGAUCUACUAGUCCCAAUUUUUUAAAGCAAUUGCACUAAAGUUGCUUCUGGGGCCCCUCUGGGCCCUGAAGUUCAAGCCGCUACUGAAGUUACAAUUUCACUGUUAACUAGCCUAAACAUAGCAAGCCCUGUGCAGGCUAAACUUAAUUGAAAGUUUACUUUGUUUGUCUUCCCAGGCCAAGCUACACUUGCUGAAAUUAUCUUAAUUCUCUUAGGAGGCAGUUGUCUCACCUCACCUCAAGUGUGGGCCAGCCCUGGGCAGCUUCCUAUGUCCCUAAGGCCAAAUUAGAAAGAUACCAAUUUUAAAAGAAUACUAAUUGUAAAAGAAUGGCUUUAUAAAUAGUAGGUGCAGGGCACCCAUUCCAGAGUAGGGAAGGCUUUACCCCUUUAAGCCCUACUGUGCUCUUGAUCUGAAUCAGGCUGCCCAGGACUUGCUAUUUCCAUUGGAAGAAAAGCUCCCAUUGGCAUAGAUGGGAGCUUUUCCUCCAACGCAAAGGAGAGCUGGGAAACUGGAUUUGAACUGGGAGUGCAGCAAGGGAGGGGGAAGGAUUAAGCCCCCAAUCACUUCAGGAUACCAGUCCAGAUCCAUCCCCCACACCUGCCAUUUAUCUUUUAAAGAUCUGCUACUUGCAAUUGCUAAUUGUGUAAAUAGCAUUUUGUCUAGUUUGGUGCUUACACACUAGAAAUAAAAGACUUGACUGAAAUUCCAUGUAUGUUUAGGUUUUUGCCCUCUGUGCUUUAAAGGCACCAUAUAAAUGUGGUGAAAGAGAGGACAAUGUAAGCAGUUCCCCUCCCAAACCAACCCCAGCAUCCCAGACCAAAUACAAAUCAUGCUUCAGGGCAUCAUAUAAAUUGCUAUUAUAAAUUCAUAUGGUGCACCAGGGAGUGCCUCAUUGUGUGUGAUUAGAGACUGUCUCGAGAGCAGUUUAGACACUCAGCCUGCUGCACGCAAGCACUGCCCCGGGGCUGCUGUUACUGAUGCAUUGUUACAAAGUGCCAUAAUAAAGCAUGAGCUAAAACAACUUAGUUGAAAUGAAGAUUAAUAUGAAACAUGUGUUCCCCUCCUUUCACUCAGAUGGAACAGUCCAAUAAAUAGAUGCUCCUCAAGGCUGAGAACAUUGGGCUCCAAUAACAAUCUGAUUGGCUGAUGGCUGCCAUUGCUGAGGGCUAGUGAUAUGUUUCCAUAGAGUCUACAAAGCAUUUGUGGACAACGUCACUGCAGCAUCUGCAAAGCAGUCAGUGUGGGCUUGCCAAAUGGUGGAGCAGUCAGAAGAGCUGAAACCAUCAAAGAAAAAUGUUUGAAGAGCACUUAAAUUAAAAAACAAACAAAC